AGGUCUUGACAUGUUGGUUGCUUGAUGCAUGACUCGUGCUCAGUCUUCCUCCAGGAGGGCACCUGAUCCCGAUGAAGAAACGGCCCAGCAAGGUGGCCCAGCAGGUGGCCUAGCAGGUGUAUAAUGAAGAAAGAAUUAAAAUCCAAGGAGGAACAGAAGAAAAGUAUUGAAUCAAUAUUGGUGAUGUCCCAGAAUGAUUCUGGAUCUGGCUACAAUAUUAUAACUGUAAGUCAUCCUUGUUCAACGGUUACUAGGAAGAGAAGGUAAGAGGA